AUCUCGUCAUAGAUUAAAUAUACGUAUAGUAUUUAUUAUAAUAUACUAUACGUAUGUUUAAUCUAUGAUCAACUUUUCAAUUGAGAUCAAUGAUUUGUUAGUUCACUAAUUUUUGGAAAAGUUGUGGAGAUUUUGGGGCUUGCUCUUGCUCCACCUCGGGUUGACCCGGUAUUGCACUAUCACCGGGAACGGCCCACAUAAU